rnacentral:rRNA from 3 species
CCCUCUGGACUGAGAUACCCUCGGGAAACUGAGGUCAAUCUCGGAUACUGCUUCCGUGUUGGAACACAGGAAGCUGGAAACGGUCCGCCGCCGGAGGACGUGACUGCGGCUGAUUAGGUAGACGGUGGGGUAACGGCCCACCGUGCCGAUAAUCAGUACGGGUUGUGAGAGCAAGAGCCCGGAGACGGAAUCUGAGACAAGAUUCCGGGCCCUACGGGGCGCAGCAGCCGCGAAACCUUUACACUGCACGCCAGUGCGAUAAGGGGAUCCCGAGUGCGAGGGCAUACAGUCCUCGCUUUUCGCGACCGUAAGGUGGUCGCAGAAUAAGGGCUGGGCAAGACCGGUGCCAGCCGCCGCGGUAAUACCGGCAGCCCGAGUGAUAGCCAGAUUUUAUUGGGCCUAAAGCGUCCGUAGCUGGCCAACAGGUCCGUCGGGAAAUCCACCCGCUUAACGGGUGGGCGUCCGGCGGAAACCAGUCGGCUUGGGGCCGAGAGACCAAAGGGGUACGUCCGGGGUAGGAGUGAAAUCCCGUAAUCCUGGACGGACCACCGGUUGCGAAAGCGCCUUUGGAGAACGGACCCGACAGUGAGGGACGAAAGCUAGGCGUCUCGAACCGGAUUAGAUACCCGGUAGUCCUAGCCGUAAACGAUGCUCGCUAGGUGUGACGCAGGCUACGAGCCUGCGUUGCGCCGUAGGGAAGCCGAGAAGCGAGCCGCCUGGGAAGUACGUCCGCAAGGAUGAAACUUAAAGGAAUUGGCGGGGGAGCACUACAACCGGAGGAGCCUGCGGUUUAAUUGGACUCAACGCCGGACAUCUCACCGGCACCGACAACGUGCAGUGACGGUCAGUUUGAUGAGCUUACCUGAGCCGUUGAGAGGAGGUGCAUGGCCGCCGUCAGCAUCGUACCGUGGGCGUCCUGUUAAGUCAGGCAACGAGCGAGACCCGCGUCCAUAAUUGCCAGCAGCACCCUUGUGGUGGCU